CGGCCGCGUCGACAUAGCUGGUUUGAGAGGAUGAUCAGCCACACUGGGACUGAGACACGGCCCAGACUCCUACGGGAGGCAGCAGUGGGGAAUCUUAGACAAUGGGGGAAACCCUGAUCUAGCCAUGCCGCGUGAUCGAUGAAGGCCUUAGGGUUGUAAAGAUCUUUCAGUGGGGAAGAUAAUGACGGUACCCACAGAAGAAGCCCCGGCUAACUCCGUGCCAGCAGCCGCGGUAAUACGGAGGGGGCUAGCGUUAUUCGGAAUUACUGGGCGUAAAGCGCACGUAGGCGGAUCGGAAAGUUGGGGGUGAAAUCCCAGGGCUCAACCCUGGAACUGCCUUCAAAACUCCCGGUCUUGAGGUCGAGAGAGGUGAGUGGAAUUCCGAGUGUAGAGGUGAAAUUCGUAGAUAUUCGGAGGAACACCAGUGGCGAAGGCGGCUCACUGGCUCCGAUACUGACGCU
rnacentral:rRNA from 1 species